rnacentral:rRNA from 1 species
AAGCUCGUAGUUGAAUUUCGGGGUUAGUAGGUUGGUCAUGCCUCCGGUAUGUACUGGUCUCACUGAUUCCUCCUUCCUGAUGAACCGUAAUGCCAUUAAUUUGGUGUUGCGGAGAAUUUGGACUGUUACUUUGAAAAAUUAGAGUGUUUAAAGCAAGCUAACGCUUGAAUACAUUAGCAUGGAAUAAUGAAAUAGGACGUUCGAUCCUAUCUUGUUGGUUUCUAGGAUUGACGUAAUGAUUAAUAGGGAUAGUUGGG